rnacentral:tRNA from 2 species
AGUAAGGUCAGCUAAAAAAGCUUUUGGGCCCAUACCCCAACCAUGUUGGUUAAAAUCCUUCCUUUACUA